AUUUUUUAAUAACUGGAUUUUGGCAACAUCCUAUUAACCAGAAACUAUGAUGGUGAUUGUGAGCACAGAAGUGCGAUGUAUAAACAUUUUAGUCAUGUGACAGACUGUCUUUGGUGUAGGAUCAAGAAGUAGGCCAGAACUUAAUUGCAGACCCGACAGUGUUCUGCAACACUUGUCACAACAUAAUGACUGGAAGUCUGCUUUCAUUGAUCUAAUGAAAAACUGUGCUGCAGUCAUCAGGGCUGAUGGAACACUAGCAGCAGCAAUAACGGGGAUGGGUCUUUUGUCAUUUCUUAUGACUCUGGAGUCUUCUUUAUUGGGCAUGUCAAGUCCAGCUUUAACAGAUGGGAUUUUUUUUUUUUCAGUCUCUUCCAGAUUCAUGGACAUUUGUAUGUCCGUUACUUUGAAUCUGGAAGGCUGUCUGGAUUUUUCAGAUCCAAAGGCCUUAAUAUAAUACGGAAGUCGGUUGGUGGCAGUUACCACACACAUAACAUUUUCCAUCUUCAAGUCUUCAAUGCCACUGACAUUGAACAACACCAAAAGAAGAUCAAGGAAAGACUUGAGG